GCCUAACACAUGCAAGUCGAGCGGAAACGACACUAAUAAUCCUUCGGGUGCGUUAAUGGGCGUCGAGCGGCGGACGGGUGAGUAAUGCCUAGGAAAUUGCCUUGAUGUGGGGGAUAACCAUUGGAAACGAUGGCUAAUACCGCAUAAUGCCUACGGGCCAAAGAGGGGGACCUUCGGGCCUCUCGCGUCAAGAUAUGCCUAGGUGGGAUUAGCUAGUUGGUGAGGUAAUGGCUCACCAAGGCGACGAUCCCUAGCUGGUCUGAGAGGAUGAUCAGCCACACUGGAACUGAGACACGGUCCAGACUCCUACGGGAGGCAGCAGUGGGGAAUAUUGCACAAUGGGCGAAAGCCUGAUGCAGCCAUGCCGCGUGUAUGAAGAAGGCCUUCGGGUUGUAAAGUACUUUCAGUUGUGAGGAAGGGGGUAGCGUUAAUAGCGCUUAUCUUGACGUUAGCAACAGAAGAAGCACC
rnacentral:rRNA from 1 species